GUGCCUAACACAUGCAAGUCGAACGAGAAAGUGGAGCAAUCCAUGAGUAAAGUGGCGACCGGGUGAGUAACACGUGACUAACCUACCUCUUAGUGGGGAAUAACUCCGGGAAACCGGGGCUAAUACCGCAUAACAUCGCAAGAUCAAAGCCGAAAGGCGCUGGGAGAGGGGGUCGCGGCUGAUUAGCUAGUUGGCGGGGUAACGGCCCACCAAGGCGAAGAUCGGUAUCCGGCCUGAGAGGGCGCACGGACACACUGGAACUGAAACACGGUCCAG
rnacentral:rRNA from 1 species